GUUGACAUGUCAUCACUUCAUUUUUUUGCGCCUGCGCAUAAAUCUGAGAAACGUGAGUUUGUCAUCAUUUUUAUCUAGACAUAGGAUAGGUUGUGUGAAAAUAUUACUGAUGUUUAACGUUAAAAAUGGACCAAAAGAUUAAUGCUAAACAACAUUUGACAUGUUUGAACGAACAUAAAUAGAUUAUUUACUAGUUUUUUUAGCUUUUCGGGCGUGAUUUUACCAGCCCCACACCACGUUUUGUGGGAGCAUAAUGAACGCUAAGUACUUGGUGUUAUUUGGACAUAAAUUAUGAACUUUGUCAAAAGAAACCACAUUUGUUCCGGACCUGGAAUGCCUUCCGGACCUGGGAUCCUGCCUUCUGAUGGAGAUAAUCAAAGUGCCAGACGAGAGUGUCGUUAAGAAGGCAACCGCGGCUGGGGGAGCAGUUGCUUGGUCUUCCUCCUCUCACCCUCCUUGGACAUUCGUUGUGCGGCCCGUCUUGCGAGCUCUUAUGCGUGAUCUCGCAAGGGGCUGUGUGUGGGGGAUCUUUGGGGAGGUGUCCGCCAUCAGGCAGUCCUGCCGGCGGACCGGUGGGGUGUUGUGUCCGGUGGUUGGCGGCAGCGACUCUAGAAGUGCAACGGGCCCAGGAUGAUACUACAAGGGACAAUAAGAUACACACCUCUUAAGGAUCUGCCCCCUUUUUUAAAUUUUCUCCUAAAAUGACAUAUCCAAAUCUCACUGCCUGUAGCUCAGGACCUGAAGCAAGGGUACGCAUAUUCGUGGUACCAUUUGAAAGGAAACACUUCGAAGUUUGUGGAAAUGUGAAAGGAAUAUAGGAGAAUAUAACACAAUAGAUCUGUUAAAAGUUCAAAAUCAACCGUUCUUUUGUAUUUUUUGUACAAUCAUCUUUGAAAUAAAAGAGAAAGACCAUAAUGUAUUAUUCGAGCCCAGGUGAAAUGUAGAUUUUGGCCUCUAGAUGGCUGCAGUGUAUGUGCAAGCUUUAGACUGAUCCAAUGAUCUAUUGCAUUUAUGUUCCAAAUGUUGUAUCAAGACUGCCCAAAUGUGCCUAAUUUGUUUAUUAAUAACUUUUCAUGUUCAAAAUUGUGCACUCUCCUCAAACAAUUGCAUGGUAUUAUUUUGCUGUAAUAGCUACUGUAUAUUGGACAGUGCCGUUAGAAUAACAAGAAUUUAAGCUUUCUGCCCAUAUCAGAUAUGUCUACGUCCUGGGAAAUGUUCUUGUUACUUACAACCUCAUGCUAAUCGCAGUGGCCUAUGUUAGCUCAACUGUCCCGUGGAAGGGACACCGAUCCUGAAGUUAUCCUCUCUGGGGUAGGGGGCAGUAUUUUGACAUCUGGAUGAAAAGCGUGCCCAAAGUAAACUGCCUGUUACUCAGGCCCAGAAGCUAGGAUAUGCAUAUUAUUGGUAGAUUUUGUAGAUUUGGAUAGAAAACACUCUAAAGUUUCUAAAACUGUUAAAAUAAUGUCUGUGAGUAUAACAGAACUGAUUUGGCAGGCGAAACCCCGAGGACAAACCAUCCAGGGGAGAAAAAAAAUUGAGGUCAUAGGAUUUUCCAAUAGUUUUCUAUGGGAUGCCCUUUUUAUAAGGAACAGUCAUUUGUUGAUUGUAUCAGAUACUGUACUGUUCCCUUAUACCUGUGCCUUUACACAUGAAUCAAUCGCGUCUUCUCUUUAUGCUUUGGGUCCACAGUCAGCAUACAGCUUUGGGGUUUUAUGUGAGCAAGCCCCACAAACAAAUUGGUUGCACUGCACACAGUUUUCACGGGCCUUGUUUCAUGUGUAACUGCCGACUUGACAUUGUGUCUUAUUUUUCCCGAGUGGGAGCUGUUGUGCUUGGGGAAGAGGGAUAGCAGGACCUGCUGCCUUGGUGGGCCUGCUUGGCGACUGUAGCUUCUUUCUUGGCGUUCAUGUGGUUCUCACAAAGCUCACAUGUCAGAUCCAGUGUGAUGCAUGGUGCUAAGGAUUAAACACUCGUAUUGGGAUGCAUGGUGCUGAAGAUUAAAUACUCUUAUUUAUUUUACAUCUGUACACCAUGAGUGUUCCUUUAACACUCUCUGUCAUUAAUGUGGAAUACAGCUCCGCUGGUAUGUUGUUUUGCGCAAUGGGGGUAGCUCCCGCCUAUGUUUGUUCAGGCUAGUCUUCUUUGCAAUCAACUUGUCUGCCAGGAAAGUUGAUGUGAAGAAGUUAUCCAUGGUCACAUUUCUGCCUUUGCCACAGUCUCAGACAGUUGCUCACCUGCUGGCUUGGUUUCAUCACUAACCAAAACGUAACUGAAGUCACUUAUCAGUUUCUGUUUUCUAUCGUCCAUUUAUCCAUUGACGACAGAAUAGCACAUUGUAAUUUUACGUUUAUUAUGUUACUAGUUUUUGCUUAAUAGCCAGAGCAAUGCUGCCAUGCGAGUGGUCAUUGUCGGUGAUUGUCAAGCAAACAACUGCUGGUCACAGUUGACCAUUAAUUAAUAUAAACACAUUUAGCAUCUCCUGGCUUCCACGCAUAGCCUACAAGCCACUGAUGAAGACCUUUGGAACAUCUACAUUUUUAGUCUAAUAAAUCCAUGUAAAAUAGCCUACACCUUCACAAUGAAUCCAUUAUUUGUUUUAGAUAGGUCUAAAGAAACAUGAUAUGAAGAAAAUGUUUCAGACGAACAGUAUAAACUGCAGAAUUUGCUACUUCAGAUACCAUAUAUAAAAUCAGUGUUUUACCUGCAUGUGACUCUGAAGGAGAAUCUUAUAAAGCGACGAUCCUUUCCCUGCAUCUGUCAAUUACAAGAUGCGCCCAUCUCAUCAUUACACUAUUGUUGUUCUAAAUUAAAUCAACCUCUUCACCCUCAUCAUUCAGUUAGGCCUAUUUUGAAUUUGAUUGUGAAGUUAAUUGCACAAUUAUCACCCAUUCCAUCCAUUUGUCAUUCAUUCAGUGGACUGGCAUCAUUUUCUUCACUGGAUAGAGUCAAGGAUGUGUCUUGCAUUAUUCUAAAGGCCUACUGCAACAUACAGCAUGUUUUCCUUUCCCUUACAAUACAUUUGAUUAGUAAUAGAGUUAUAGUAAAUAAAACAGUCCCAUAAUAGCUUAUUUUUACAAAGUAAAAAAGAGAAUGGUAUCAACCCCCAAGGCGUGCGGUCAAAUUAUGUGCUGCUGAUAAAUAGGCAUAACGCAAACUCAUCAUUACACUAUUGUCUUUCUAAAUUAAAGCAACAUCUUCAUCCUCCCUAUCAUUCUGUUAGGCCUAAUUUAAAUUCAGUUGUGAAGUAAGGUACCCAAUUAUAGCCCAUUAAAACAUUUGUCAUUCAAUGAGGAGAGAGAGAGAAGCAUUAGCAUUAGCGCCUAGCUGAGUACCAACAUCCUGGGUACCAUUGAGAUUAAGUUAGGAAUGGGUGUGAAAAAAACUGGUAAAAGGCUCUAAAUACUUUUCUGUUUGUAAUUUCAAAAUUCUGACAAAUGAGAAGUGUGAAAUAGAAACAUUUUGGAAAAGUCAGGGAAGGAGCAGGACAUACCUUUUUGUGGGGGGCAGAUUUUUUUAAUUUACAAAAUCAAACGUCAGUGGCCUAUGGCAGUUCUAGUGUUAAAAGCCACAUUUACAUGUGAGGAGAAUAACAUUAUUUCACCCCCACAUUGUGAGCUUGCAAUUCUACAUGUGAAAGUUAUUUUCACAUGUUAAACUGCAAAUCCAAUUUUCACGUGAUGUAACGACUUCCGCUGAAGUAGGCUCCUCUCCUUGUUCGGGUGGCGUUCGGCGGUCGACGUCACCGGCUUUCUAGCCAUCGCCGCUCCAUUUUUCAAUGUUCCAUUUGUUUUGUCUUGUUCCCUGCACACCUGGUUUUUAUUCCCUAAUCACACUGCAUUCCUCUGUUCCCCUCCAUGUCUUUGUGUGAAAUUGUUUUGUGUUACGUGUCAUUUUUGACGCGCCAGACUGGUGUUUGUAUAUUCCGUGUUUGGUCACGUGGUAUGUUUAUUUGUUUGAACAUAAUUAUUGUGACUGUUUGCACUUUUGCCUAUUGGCUGGAGGUUUUUACGCAGUGGCGUCCAUCUGUUGGUUUCUCCUGUCUCAAUAAAGUGUGCGCCUGUUCACAACUCUCUGCUCUCCUGCACCUGACUCCGCUACCAGCGGCAUACCAAUGACACGUGAAGAAAGUGAAGAAAGUGCAAGUCCACAUGUGAAUCUGCAAUUCACACGUGGGUUGAAAACUUGUUAUUCUCCUGACAUGUGAAAAGGUGGUGUUAAUAUGUGAACAAUAAAUGUAAUACAUGUGAACAUAUGGCUUCACAUGUUAAAAACUGACCUGACACGUGCCUCUUUUGUUUUCACAUAUGAACAUUUCAGGUCAACAUGUGAAAAUGUGAUUUGUGAUACUUCAAACUAUGACGGAGCAGACAGCUUAACUGUUCCCGUGUGUGAACCCCAGGAUAACUCUUUGAUGAGUUAUUAAAUCAAUUAUUUAUCUCAGCUGGAGUUUCUGUGGAAGAGAAAGCAGCUAUGAAUGGUGGUUUCGUUAGGACAGAGAGUGGUCUGAGAAGCCCCGUUUAUACCUGGUUCUACCUUGCGACCUUGCUCCUGAUCUUGUCCACAUUCUGAUUGUGCCUACAUUUUUAGACAGGUGUAGGCAAUCAAAAGACACAUUGUGAUCUGAUUGCGAUCAGAUCAUUUUGCACACCUCGGGAGGUAGUCAGCCACACGUUGGCUAUAGUCCAAACAUUUAAAAGACACACCCUAUCCCCUCAACCCUCAAAUUAAGUGGACACUUCUGAUGAUGUAUCAUGACUUCUGAUGAGUAUACACUUGCAGGGCAAGGGGCGAGGCAGGAUGGAAUUGUUUUUAAAUGGACAGCCCUUGCCCGGAAAUUUGUCACUCAUUCAUCUCGCUAUGAUUUUGUUUCAGCCACCGGUAGCUUGUGGGUGCGUCAUAUGCAAUACAGUCAAUUAUGAUUGCAUGUCCACUUACAUUAAAUAUAUAAUUAUUAAUAUACGCCUACUGUAUGAUAGC
rnacentral:lncRNA from 1 species